ensembl:lncRNA
CUAUUGGGCACUUGGUUCUUAUUUGAUUCUAGCAAAACAGUUGCCACUUGAGACAGGAAGAGCUUUAUUCAUCAAAGGAAGGGAGUCAAGGCAUAGCACAGCCAAGGACUGACCUUCAACCUUGCCCGUUCAAGUUUGGCAGGUGCUCAGCUGAGAGUGGGAAAGACAGGAUCCGCUUGGCAGGGAGCGGGUGGGUUACCCAGGAGUGUGUGCAGAAACGCUCUCUCGCCUGCCUCCUCUCCCGGUUACCGACUACUUUCCCCUUCUUGAUGUGCACCCACUCAUUCAAUGUUGGUAACACUCCAAAGAGAGGGUGCUGGCUCCCUGUUCUGGAGGUGAGGACGCCAAGGCUCAGACGGGGUGAGGAACUCACACAGCCGCCCAGCUUUCUCUCAUACAGGGCUGGAUCAGGCUUCCGCACAGCGUGGCGGCCUGGACUGCUCACACAGUGGCUGCAGCCAUCAAGAACAGGCAGCCCAGGAAGAAAGUAGCCUCUGCACCUCCUUUUUGAACCUGCCUGGGAAAUCACCGUGGCCCUUGUCUUUUGGUUCUGUAACAAAAACCCGCUCAGAUGCAAGGGGUGGGGACACAGGCAGCGCUUGCUGAUGGGAGCAGUGACAAAGUCACCUUGUGACGUGCACUGGGAUGGGAGACGCUGUUGCGGCCAUCUUUGGGAAAUGCAGUUGUUCACAGGCUGCCAUAGCCCUCCCCUCCCUCGGGGUGGGCCACAUGCCAUCAUUCUCAAGGGAGGGGCCAGGCAGCCGCAGGAGGGAGUCGGGACCCAGGACCACUGGCGGGGCAUCAUCAAUUUCUUUUGAGUGGGGCGGGGGGCUAAAAGGGCUGGCUUUGGCCGAGCUCAUAAAAAUACUUGUUAACCUCCACAGAGGAGUUCCUCCAUGCCAGACGCGCUGCCUCGCGUACUUUACACUCCCUGUCUUGUUUAAGCAUCAGCCUGAGUCUGGGAGGAGAGUCCAUUAGCAUCCACACUUACAGAUGAGGAAACUGAGGCUUGCGGAGGCCAGGGGACAGACACAGUUGCCUUGUCUUUAUCUCUGAACAGUACAGGACCUCUACACAGCGCCUGCUUCUACGUGAGAUGGACUAUCAUGGAAACUACACAGAUGAGGAAAUGAGGCUCUGAGAGGUCAACGACCUGCCUGAGUCACAUAGCCAGCGAGUGGGAGCGUCAGCAACCGAACCCAGAAACACCGCUUCCCAGCCACCUGGCUACCCUCGUCCACCCCUUGCUGAAGCCUCUGAGCCCUGUUCGUGUCUGCUCAGUGACGAGCCUGUCAGUGGCCCAAGAAUUGGCGCUCCGGGGAGCUGGGCCUGGAGGCUGCUGCGCUCACACCUGCUCGCUCUGCCAGGCAAGACAUCGGAGCCUCGGAACCUGCAGCAGGCUCCAGAAAGGUGAGAAGACGUGGCGGUGAUCCAAUCAGACAAGAAGCCUCCCCUGGCAGCCACCAUCCGCCGAGCCUCGUGGGGCUCUGGGCUGGCCGUGCCCCGCUGACUCUUCCCCAUCUCUCGGGGGUGGAAACUAUGAUUGUCCUCGUCUUACAGCCGGGGAAACUGAGGUUCUGAGAGCCUGAGCAAUGCACCCAAGGUCACUCAGUUAGUGGCAGAACCGGGCCUGGAACUCAGGCCCUUCUGAAGCCAGAUCCCGAAGAGAGAUUUUUCUCAGCGCUCAUCAGAUUGGGCCAUUCCUUUGCAUAAUCCUCCUCAGUGGCCUCCACACUCCUGAACUCGGCCCAAGGGUCCUGCAAGGCCUGAUCCUGACCUUCAUCUUCUGCCUCAUCUCUCUCCUGUCUAUCUUGAGCCCCUUCACCCUGACUGAGUGCUUUCCUCCAGCCACGCUGAUCCUUCUGAUCCCCAGUGUAAGGUCCAGUGUUCUCUUACCUCCCAGCCUUCACACAUGCUAUUCCCUCUGCCCAGAACGCCCUUCCCUUCCUCCUGAUAUGGUUAACAUUCCUUCUCCUCCAGGGCUCAGCCAGGUGUAACCUCCUCAGGGAUGCUCUCCUCAUCUCCCCAAGGCUGUGAGCUGCCCCACUUCCUGCCCUCCCUAUGCGGGGCUUGCCCCAUCCAGAAGCUAAUUCCCCUACCAGCCUGUGAGUUCCCGAGGCCAGGGUCUUCAUCUGCCUUUUUCAGAGUUAUAGCCCCAGCACACAGGCCAGGGCCCAGCACACAACAGGAG